GGGAGAUGGCUCAGCAAUUAAGAGCACUGGUUGUUCUUCUAGAUGACCUGGGUUCAAUUCCCAGCUCCCA
rfam:Cricetulus griseus cell line CHO-K1, whole genome shotgun sequence.